rnacentral:rRNA from 1 species
CUCCUACGGGAGGCAGCAGUCGGGAAUUUUGGGCAAUGGGGGAAACCCUGACCCAGCAACGCCGCGUGAAGGAUGAAGUAUUUCGGUAUGUAAACUUCGAAAGAAUAGGAAGAAUUAAUGACGGUACUAUUUAUAAGGUCCGGCUAACUACGUGCCAGCGCCGCGGUAA